UGAGGUUGUCUGAUCCUCUUUGUACAUCAUUUCCCAAUGUACUGGUCUACAGUUCUUCUCCUAACUGCAGCCUGCUGGGCAUUUUGCAAGGCUCAGCUCAGCCUGUCUCAGCCUCCCACAGAGUCAGUGUCUGUGGGACAAACAGCCAAACAGCCAUGUACCAUGAGCAGUGGUUACAGCAUCAGUAGUUAUGAUGUGCAGUGGUACCAGCAGCGAUUCGGGAGUGCUCCUCGUUUGAUUAUAUAUUACACCACUAGCAGGCCUUCUGGGAUACCAGACCGGUUCUCAGGUUCUAAAGACAGCAGCAGUAAUACAGCCCAUUUAACCAUCACUGGUGUCCAGGGAGAGGAUGAUGCUGAUUAUUACUGUCAAGUGUGGGACAGCAGUAACAAUGUACACAGUGAUACAGUUCUUUGA